rnacentral:rRNA from 1 species
GAUGAACGCUGGCGGCGUGCCUAAUACAUGCAAGUCGAGCGAACAGACGAGGAGCUUGCUCCUUUGACGUUAGCGGCGGACGGGUGAGUAACACGUAGGUAACCUACCUAUAAGACUGGGAUAACUUCGGGAAACCGGAGCUAAUACCGGAUAAUAUUUCGAACCGCAUGGUUCGAUAGUGAAAGAUGGCUUUGCUAUCACUUAUAGAUGGACCUGCGCCGUAUUAGCUAGUUGGUAAGGUAACGGCUUACCAAGGCAACGAUACGUAGCCGACCUGAGAGGGUGAUCGGCCACACUGGAACUGAGACACGGUCCAGACUCCUACGGGAGGCAGCAGUAGGGAAUCUUCCGCAAUGGGCGAAAGCCUGGCGGAGCAACGCCGCGUGAGUGAUGAAGGUCUUCGGAUCGUAAAACUCUGUUAUUAGGGAAGAACAAACGUGUAAGUAACUGUGCACGUCUUGACGGUACCUAAUCAGAAAGCCACGGCUAACUACGUGCCAGCCGCCGCGGUAACAC